GGCGCCAUGGAUUAGUUGGUUAAAGCGCCUGUCUAGUAAACAGGAGAUCCUGAGUUCGAAUUCCGGCGGUGCCU